rnacentral:rRNA from 1 species
AUGCAAGGAGCAGCCAUGGCGUUCGUCUCGCAGCUGCUGCUCCUCCUGUCGUGCAUUAUCUGCCAUGCUCUCAUCGCCAGUGCAGCGGGUGAGCAGAGCUAUAAGAUUCUCUCGACGAGCUCGCUCAAGCCUCAAGCCGUCUGCUCCGAGCCCAAGGUGAAUCCGUCGUCGUCCACUGGAGCCACGGUGCCGUUGAACCACAGGCAUGGCCCGUGCUCGCCGGCGCCCGCCAAGAAGGAGCCUGCCUUCGAGGAGCUGCUCCGCCGUGACCAGCUCCGAGCCGGCUACGUCCAGCGCAAGUUCUCCACGAACCACCGCGGCGGCGGGCUGCAGCAGUCGGAGGAGCUCAAGGUGCCGACCGAGCUGGGCUCUUCCCUGGACACGCUGGAGUACGUCAUAACCGUCGGCGUCGGCUCGCCGGCGGUGCAGCAGACCAUGACCAUGGACACCGGGAGCGACGUGUCGUGGGUGCACUGCAACUCCAACUCCACGGCCGGGUCGACGCCCUUCGACCCCGCCAAGUCGAGCACGUACGCCGCGUUCUCGUGCGGCGCCCCGGCGUGCACACAGCUCGGCGCGGAGGCCAACGUCUGCUCCAACUCGCAGUGCCAGUACAUGGUCCGCUACGGCGACGGCUCCAACACAACCGGCACGUACGGCUCCGACACGCUGGCGCUGGGCUCGGACACGGUCAAGGAAUUCCAGUUCGGCUGCAGCCGCGUGGAGGAGGGGUUCGGCGACAAGACCGACGGGCUCAUGGGGCUCGGCGGCGACGCGCAGUCGCUCAUCUCGCAGACCGCGGCGACGUACGGCAGGGCCUUCUCCUACUGCCUCCCGCCUUCCCCCGGCUCCAAGGGGUUCCUGACGCUCGGCGCGCAGACCGGCACGACGGGCUUCGCGACGACGGGGAUGCUCCGAAGCGAGCAGGCCCCGACGUUCUACGGCGUGCUCCUCCAGGGCAUCAAGGUCGGCGGGGAUCAGAUCAGCGUGGCGCCCUCCGUCUUCUCCGCCGGGUCCGUGAUGGACUCCGGGACCAUCAUCACGCGGCUGCCGCCCACGGCGUACACGGCGCUCAAGACGGCGUUCAAGGACGGCAUGAAGCAGUACCCGACGGCGCCGUCCAGGAGCAUCCUGGACACGUGCUUCGACUUCAGCGGCCAGGACAACGUCACCAUACCCACCGUCGCUCUGAUGUUCGACGGCGGCGCGGUCGUCGACCUCGAUGCCAACGGGAUCAUAUUCGGCAGCUGCCUCGCGUUCACGGGCACCGACGACGACGAGAGCACCGGCAUCAUCGGCAACGUGCAGCAGAGGACGCUCGAGGUGCUCUACGACGCAGGCCAGAGCGUCUUCGGGUUCAAGUCCAACGCGUGCUAG